UACAGAGGUCUCAAGCGUUGUUCGGAUUCAUUGGGCGUAAAGGGUGCGUAGGUGGCAUGGUAAGUCGGAUGUGAAAUCCCGGGGCUCAACCCCGGAACUGCAUUCGAUACUGCCAGGCUAGAGUACUGGAGAGGAGAUUGGAAUUUACGGUGUAGCAGUGAAAUGCGUAGAUAUCGUAAGGAAGACCAGUGGCGGAAGGCGGAUCUCUGGACAGUUACUGACACUGAGGCACGAAGGCCAGGGGAGCAAACGGG
rnacentral:rRNA from 1 species